GAUUAAGCUAUAAAGGGCACACGGUGGAUGCCUUGGCGCUGAGAGGCGAUGAAAGACGUAGUAGACUGCGAUAAGCUUCGGCGAGUUGUCAAACGAACUGUGACCCGAAGAUUUCUGAAUGGGGAAACCCGGCAGUGCGAUAAGUGCUGUCAUCCUGAACUGAAUUCAUAGGUUCAGAGAGGCGAACGCGGAGAACUGAAACAUCUAAGUAACCGCAGGAAGAGAAAAAAUGAUCGAUUCCCUGAGUAGCGGCGAGCGAACGGGGAAGAGCCUAAACGCAUGUAUGUGUAAGUGUUGCAGCGUUGCUGCAUGCGGGUCGUGGGAUUUUCUGUCAGAUGGUGCAUCACAUCUGGGUAACUGGCAAUUCGAAGAGGAACAGGACUGGAAAGCCUGGCCAAAGUGGGUAAUAGCCCCGUAGUUGUGUGAAUUGCUUAAUUACUACGAAGACACCCGAGUACGACGGGACACGUGGAACCCUGUUGGAAUCAGCGAGGACCACCUAGCAAGGCUAAAUACUCCUCAUAGACCGAUAGUGAACAAGUAACGUGAGGGAAAUGUUAAAAGCACCCCUGCGAGGGGAGUGAAAGAGACCCUGAAACCGUGUGCCUACAAACCGUUGGAGCCAUUGCCCGCAAGGGAGGGUGACAGCGUACCUUUUGCAUAAUGAGUCAGCGAGUUACGUUUUGUCGCAAGGUUAAGCCGUUUGAGGUGUAGCCGAAGGGAAACCGAGUCUGAACAGGGCGAUU
rnacentral:rRNA from 1 species